rnacentral:rRNA from 1 species
CCUACGGGCGGCAGCAGUGAGGAAUAUUGGUCAAUGGGCGCGAGCCUGAACCAGCCAAGUCGCGUGAGGGAAGACGGUCCUAUGGAUUGUAAACCUCUUUUGUCGGGGAGCAAAAGACGCCACGCGUGGCGUUACGAGAGUACCCGAAGAAAAAGCAUCGGCUAACUCCGUGCCAGCAGCCGCGGUAAUACGGAGGAUGCGAGCGUUAUCCGGAUUUAUUGGGUUUAAAGGGUGCGCAGGCGGAAGAUUAAGUCAGCGGUAAAAUUGAGGGGCUCAACCUCUGCGAGCCGUUGAAACUGGUGUUCUUGAGUUAGCGAGAAGUAUGCGGAAUGCGUGGUGUAGCGGUGAAAUGCUUAGAUAUCACGCAGAACUCCGAUUGCGAAGGCAGCAUACCGGCGCUCAACUGACGCUGAUGCACGAAAGUGUGGGUAUCGAACAGGAUUAGAUACCCGAGUAGUC